rnacentral:misc_RNA from 1 species
GUAUAACAAAACAUAUAUCAAAGUGAAAUGGGCAAAAUAAGAAUU